rnacentral:rRNA from 1 species
GACGGACCGUACAAACGUUAUCCGGAUUCACUGGGCGUAAAGGGUGCGCAGGCGGCUACGUGUGUGAGGCGUGAAAGCCUGAAGCUUAACUUCAGAAUUGCACCUCAAACUAUGUGGCUAGAGCAUUGGAGAGGGUAGCAGAAUUCACGGUGUAGCAGUGAAAUGCGUAGAUAUCGUGAGGAAUACCAGAGGCGAAGGCGGCUACCUGGACAAUUGCUGACGCUCAGGCACGAAAGCGUGGGGAGCAAAAGGG